rnacentral:tRNA from 1 species
AGAGAUGUGGCUCUGUGGUAGAGUGCUUGCCUGGCAAAUACAAGAGGCCCUAGGUUNAAUCCCUAGCACUG